GACGAACGCUGGCGGCGUGCUUAACACAUGCAAGUCGAACGGAAAGGCCCUGCUUGCAGGGUACUCGAGUGGCGAACGGGUGAGUAACACGUGGGUGAUCUGCCCUGCACUUCGGGAUAAGCCUGGGAAACUGGGUCUAAUACCUGAUAGGAGCCAUUUUUAGUGUGAUGGUUGGAAAGUUUUUUCGGUGUAGGGUGAGCUCGCGGCCUGACAGCUGGUUGGUGGGGUAAUGGCCUACCAAGGCGGCGACGGGUAGCUGGCCUGAGAGGGUGGACGGCCACAUUGGGACUGAGAGAAGGCCCAGACUCCUACGGGAGGCAGAAGGGGGGAAUAUUGCACAAUGGGCGCAAGCCUGAUGCAGCGACGCCGCGGGGGGGAUGACCGCCUUCGGGUUGAAAAAUCAUUACGCUAGGGACGACGCUUUUUGUGAGGGUACCUAGAUAAGAAGCACCGGCUAACUACGUG
rnacentral:rRNA from 1 species